rnacentral:rRNA from 1 species
GGGAAGAGCUCAAAUUUGAAAGCUGGUACCUUCGGUAUCCGCGUUGUAACCUCGAGACACGUUUUCCGUGCGGCGCUAUGGACAAGUUCCUUGGAACAGGACAUCGUAGAGGGUGAAAAUCCCGUACUUGCCAUGGAUGUACCGUGCUUUGCGAUACGUGCUCUAAGAGUCGAGUUGUUUGGGAUUGCAGCUCAAAAUGGGUGGUAGACUCCAUCUAAAGCUAAAUAUCGGGGAGAGACCGAUAGCGAACAAGUACCGUGAGGGAAAGAUGAAAAGCACUUUGGAAAGAGAGUUAAAAGUACGUGAAAUUGUCGAAAGGGAAGCGCUUGAAGUCAGCCAUGCCGCUCAGGACUCAGCCUGGCUUUUGCUUGGUGUAUUUCCUGGGUAGCAAGUCAGCAUUGGUUUGGAUCGUCGGAGAAGCAUAGUUGGAAUGUGGCGCCCUCGGGCGUGUUAUAGCCUUCUAUUGGAUACGACGAUCUGGACCAAGGAACGCAGCGCGCCUUAUGGCGGGUCUUCGGACACCUUCGCGCUUA